GACAGAGGGGGCAAGCGUUGCUCGGAAUUACUGGGCGUAAAGCGCACGUAGGCGGAUUUGUAAGUCAGGCGUGAAAUCCCCGGGCUUAACCUGGGAAUGGCACUUGAAACUACGAUGCUGGAGUAUGGCAGAGGGAGGUGGAAUUCCACGUGUAGCGGUGAAAUGCGUAGAGAUGUGGAGGAACACCGAUGGCGAAGGCAGCCUCCUGGGCCAAUACUGACGCUCAUGCACGAAAGCGUGGGGAGCAAACAGG
rnacentral:rRNA from 1 species